rnacentral:rRNA from 1 species
GACGAACGCUGGCGGCGUGCUUAACACAUGCAAGUCGAACGGAAAGGCCCUGCUUUUGUGGGGUGCUCGAGUGGCGAACGGGUGAGUAACACGUGAGUAACCUGCCCUUGACUUUGGGAUAACUUCAGGAAACUGGGGCUAAUACCGGAUAGGAGCUCCUGCUGCAUGGUGGGGGUUGGAAAGUUUCGGCGGUUGGGGAUGGACUCGCGGCUUAUCAGCUUGUUAGUGGGGUAGUGGCUUACCAAGGCUUUGACGGGUAGCCGGCCUGAGAGGGUGACCGGCCACAAUGGGAAUGAGAUACGGGCCAGACUCCUAAGGGAGGCAGCAGUGGGGAAUAUUGCACAAUGGGCGGAAGCCUGAUGCAGCAACGCCGCGUGCGGGAUGACGGCCUUCGGGUUGUAAACCGCUUUCGCCUGUGACGAAGCGUGAGUGACGGUAAUGGGUAAAGAAGCACCGGCUAACUACGUG